rnacentral:rRNA from 1 species
AUUACCGAGUUUACAACUCCCAAACCCCUGUGAACAUACCUAUAAUUGUUGCUUCGGCGGGAUCGUCCCGGCGCCCAACCUACACCGGGCCCGGACCCAGGCGCCCGCCGGAGGCCCCAAACUCUUUGUUUUUACGUUGUGUAUCUUCUGAGUUAUACAAGCAAAUAAAUCAAAACUUUCAACAACGGAUCUCUUGGUUCUGGCAUCGAUGAAGAACGCAGCGAAAUGCGAUAAGUAAUGUGAAUUGCAGAAUUCAGUGAAUCAUCGAAUCUUUGAACGCACAUUGCGCCCGCUAGUAUUCUAGCGGGCAUGCCUGUUCGAGCGUCAUUUCAACCCUCAAGCCCUCGCGGCUUGGUGUUGGGGAUCGGCCGCAAGCCUUCACGGCAGGCGGCCGGCCCCGAAAUCUAGUGGCGGUCUCGCUGUAGUCCCCCUCUGCGUAGUAGCACACCUCGCACUGGAAGCUCGGCCUGACCACGCCGUAAAACCCCCCACUUCUGAAAGGUUGACCUCGGAUCAGGUAGGAAUACCCGCUGAACUUAAGCAUAUCAAUAAGCGGAGGAAAAGAAACCAACAGGGAUUGCCCUAGUAACGGCGAGUGAAGCGGCAACAGCUCAAAUUUGAAAUCUGGCCCUUGUGGUCCGAGUUGUAAUUUGUAGAGGAUGCUUUUGGUGAGGUGCCUUCCGAGUUCCCUGGAACGGGACGCCAUAGAGGGUGAGAGCCCCGUCUGGUUGGACACCGAGCCUCUGUAAAGCUCCUUCGACGAGUCGAGUAGUUUGGGAAUGCUGCUCUAAAUGGGAGGUAUAUGUCUUCUAAAGCUAAAUAUUGGCCAGAGACCGAUAGCGCACAAGUAGAGUGAUCGAAAGAUGAAAAGCACUUUGAAAAGAGGGUUAAAAAGUACGUGAAAUUGUUGAAAGGGAAGCGCUUGUGACCAGACUUGGGCCCGGUCAAUCAUCCAGGGUUCUCCCUGGUGCACUUUUCCGGCUCAGGCCAGCAUCAGUUUGUCGCGGGGGAUAAAGACGUUGGGAAUGUGGCUCCUCCGGGAGUGUUAUAGCCCUUCGUGCAAUACCCUGCUUCGGACUGAGGUCGC